rnacentral:lncRNA from 1 species
AAGUGACAUAAUUCUCGAAGCUAUUGGUUUAAAAUCUGUACAACACAUCAAUAAAGUAAAAUACACUAAGUGUUGCAGCGGAAAUACUUAAGUGGAUUACAUGUAUGAAGACAUGGAAUCCUGAGCCUAAUUUAAUACUUAUACUUCAAAAGCUUUGCUCUGCUCGCCUCCAUCCGCAUCACAGCUUAACCUGCAUAUUUAGAAAACAUAUGCAGGGCUGAGUACUAAAAAGGUACUCAAUGGUCACAUGCCGAAAUAACUUUAAAGCUUGCUCUUAGAGCUAUAUAUUGAACUUGCCAUCUCAA